AGAGCGAACGCUGGCGGCAGGCCUAAUACAUGCAAGUCGAGCGCACCUUCGGGUGAGCGGCGGACGGGUGAGUAACGCGUGGGAACGUGCCCUUUGGUUCGGAACAACACAGGGAAACUUGUGCUAAUACCGAAUGUGCCCUUCGGGGGAAAGAUUUAUCGCCAUUGGAGCGGCCCGCGUUGGAUUAGCUAGUUGGUGGGGUAAAGGCCCACCAAGGCGACGAUCCAUAGCUGGUCUGAGAGGAUGAUCAGCCACACUGGGACUGAGACACGGCCCAGACUCCUACGGGAGGCAGCAGUAGGGAAUCUUGCGCAAUGGGCGAAAGCCUGACGCAGCCAUGCCGCGUGAAUGAUGAAGGUCUUAGGAUUGUAAAAUUCUUUCACCGGGGAAGAUAAUGACGGUACCCGGAGAAGAAGCCCCGGCUAACUUCGUGCCAGCAGCCGCGGUAAUACGAAGGGGGCUAGCGUUGCUCGGAAUUACUGGGCGUAAAGGGCGCGUAGGCGGACAGUUUAGUCAGAGGUGAAAGCCCAGGGCUCAACCUUGGAACUGCCUUUGAUACUGGCUGUCUUGAGUUCGGGAGAGGUGAGUGGAAUGCCGAGUGUAGAGGUGAAAUUCGUAGAUAUUCGGCGGAACACCAGUGGCGAAGGCGACUCACUGGCCCGAUACUGACGCUGAGGCGCGAAAGCGUGGGGAGCAAACAGG
rnacentral:rRNA from 1 species